GACAGAGGGUGCUAGCGUUGCUCGGAAUUACUGGGCGUAAAGGGCGCGUAGGCGGAUGUUUAAGUUGGGGGUGAAAGCCCGGGGCUCAACCUCGGAAUUGCCUUCAAUACUGGACAUCUUGAGUACGGGAGAGGUGAGUGGAACUCCGAGUGUAGAGGUGAAAUUCGUAGAUAUUCGCAAGAACACCAGUGGCGAAGGCGGCUCACUGGCCCGAUACUGACGCUGAGGCACGAAAGCGUGGGGAGCAAACAGG
rnacentral:rRNA from 1 species